GGCUGGUCCGAUGGUAGUGUGUUAUCAGAACUUACUAACAUUGGUGUCACUAAGGUUACUAUACCACCCCCCACUGCUAUUUUUGACUGGCUUACA
rnacentral:Y_RNA from 1 species